GACGAACGCUGGCGGCGUGCUUAACACAUGCAAGUCGAACGGAAAGGCCCUGCUUUUGUGGGGUUCUCGAUUGGCGAACGGGUGAGUAACACGUGAGUAACCUGCCCUUGACUUUGGGAUAACUUCAGGAAACUGGGGCUAAUACCGGAUAGGAGCUCCUGCUGCAUGGGGGGGGUUGGAAAGUUUCGGCGGUUGGGGAUGGACUCGCGGCUUAUCAGCUUGUUGGUGGGGUAGUGGCUUACCAAGGCUUUGACGGGUAGCCGGCCUGAGAGGGUGACCGGCCACAUUGGGCCUGAGAUACGGACCAGACUCCUACGGGAGGCAGCAGUGGGGAAUAUGGCACAAUGGGCGGACGCCUGAUGCAGCAACGCCGCGUGCGGGAUGACGGCCUUCGGGUUGUGAACCGCUGUCGCAUGUGACGAAGCGAGAGUGACGGUACUGGGUAAAGAAGCACCGGCUAACUACGUG
rnacentral:rRNA from 1 species